rnacentral:rRNA from 1 species
GACGAACGCUGGCGGCGUGCUUAACACAUGCAAGUCGAAUGGUAAGGCCCUUCGGGGUACACGAGUGGCGAACGGGUGAGUAACACGUGGGUGAUCUGCCCUGCACUUCGGGAUAAGCCUGGGAAACUGGGUCUAAUACCGGAUAGGACUCCGGACUGCAUGGUCUGGGGUGGAAAGCUUUUGCGGUGUGGGAUGGGCCCGCGGCCUAUCAGCUUGUUGGUGGGGUGAUGGCCUACCAUGGCGACGACGGGUAGCCGGCCUGAGAGGGUGACCGGCCACACUGGGACUGAGAUACGGCCCAGACUCCUACGGGAGGCAGCAGUGGGGAAUAUUGCACAAUGGGCGCAAGCCUGAUGCAGCGACGCCGCGUGAGGGAUGACGGCCUUCGGGUUGUAAACCUCUUUCAGCAUCGACGAAGCGAAAGUGACGGUAGGUGCAGAAGAAGGACCGGCCAACUACGUGCCAGCAGCCGCAGUAA